UAUGUAAAAAGUUUAAUGCAUGAAUCUAGUAAGUGAAAGGAAAAGGGAUAACAGAUUCACUUUCCGUUUCACUUCGCUACUUCGCCCGCAAUGUCAUCUGUAUCUUUUUUCAUAAACAAACGACAAAUCGGUUGAGAAAGCAAAACGUUUGUUAAUUCUUUGCUUUCUCUAACUCAACUUUUGCAAAUACAUUACUGUCUUUUUAAAUCAUCACAAUAAAACAGUCAACCCAGAAAAAAGGAUUUAUUGAUUAAAUGGUUAAGGACGAAAGUAAACCGAAAGAGAACAUAAGUUAAAAAAUUCAUUAAAGCCCCCAAAAAGAAUAGUUGAUAAAACGAUUAAUGACCAAUCCCAGCUUUUUUACAAAGAGCAAAGACAUCUCCAACUUCAUCCACAUUUCCGUGAAUGAGUACCGUUGGCUUUCCAGUACCAUUUCCAGGAUUGGAAACGUUUCCCGUCAGAACUCUUCUUGCGACCCUACUUAAAUCGGAUGGAGUCAAUGCAUCAAUUUUCUCAAUCAUUUCCUUGGGAGUAAUAUAAAGACCAUUCUGAGUUUGGAUCUGUCUCCCCAAGUCCUCUAGUGAGAUCAUCCUGCUCUCAAGAUUCAUUAAUAGAGAGCUUUUUAGCUGAUUCUUAGCCCGCUCUGUUUCCUCAGAGG